rnacentral:sRNA from 1 species
GUCGAGGGGUCAUCGGCAUCUUCCGCAUCGAUACCGCGCGGUACAGGCGAAGGAUCCUCCGACGGCCCCCAC